rnacentral:lncRNA from 1 species
UGGGGGUGGCUUUGAUGGUGGUUGGAAGGAUGUUGUGGUUGAACUGGGGUGGGGGCUGCGGUGAAACUGAUGUUGGGUGUGUAGAGGAAGUUGGGUGGCUCAAGAAUGGUUGGGACUUGGGUAUGAUUUGGUUUGGUGGGUUGGUUUUUGAAAUGAUUCUUUUGAUUACUUGGUAUGGUUUUAUGAUUUUAUUUCUUGGAAGUUGA